rnacentral:rRNA from 1 species
UACGGAGGGGGCGAGCGUUAUUCGGAAUUAUUGGGCGUAAAGGGCGCGUAGGCGGCUUGGCAAGUCAAAGGUGAAAUCCCUCGGCUCAACUGAGGAACUGCCUUUGAAACUGCCUGGCUUGAGGCUGGGAGGGGGUAGCGGAAUUCCCAGUGUAGCGGUGAAAUGCGUAGAUAUUGGGAGGAACACCAGUGGCGAAGGCGGCUACCUGGACCGGUUCUGACGCUGAUGCGCGAAAGCGUGGGUAGCAAACAGG